rnacentral:rRNA from 2 species
UUUAGGAUGUUGCGGCAGAGGGUGAGUAACAGGUGGGUAACCUGCCAGUAAGACUGGGAUAACUCCCGGAAACCGGAGCUAAUACCGGAUCGUUGUUUGAACCGCAGGGUUUGGGAUAAAAUAUGGCUUCGGCUACCACUUACGGAUGGACCCGCGGCGCAUUAGCUAGUUGGUGGGGUAAUGGCUCACCAAGGCCACAAUUCAUAGCCUACCUGAGCGGGUGAUCGGCCACACUGGGACUGAAACACGGCCCAAACCCCUACUGGAGAAUUUUCCAGGGAAUCUUCCGUCUGGACGAAAGUCUGACGGAGCAACGCCACGGGAUUGAUGAAGGUUUUCGGAUCGUAAAGCUCUAUUGUUUGGGAAUAACAAGUGCGUGUUACAAUUGGCGGGGCCCUAUUGAGGGUCCCUAACCAAAAUCCCCCGCCAAAUUCCGGGGUAAUACCUAGGUGUAAUACUUAUGUCGGGAAUUAUUGUCCCGAAAUUAUGGGCCUUAAGGGUCUCUAAGGUCUGUUUUUAAAUCCUAAUGUCUAAACCCCCGGGCUCACCUGGGAAUGGUAUUUGUAACUUGGGCAGAAUUUAAUUGCGGAAAAGAAGAUUGAAUUUCCCACUUGCGGCGUGAAAUGGAGGAACAC